UGUGCCUUUCGUGAGGGAGCGGGAACGCCCUGAGGGGGUCAUCGUGUUCUGAGGGGACAUACCACCACUGAGAGGUCACUGUGCCUGAGGCGACAUGCCACCAGAGGGGUCACUGUGACUGAGGGGACAUCACACCCACGAGAGUGCACUGUGUCCUAAGGCGACAGCGCACUCCUGGGGGUUCACUGUGCCCAGAGCUACAAUCCCUCCUUAAAGGACAUUUUAGCCCGGAUGGGGCCGCAUAGUUUUCCAUCAGGAAGAGAUGAAAUCUCGUCAUCUGCUCCACCAUGUAGUUAUAAAAUAACCAGGUCUGUUGGUGGGCAUGAUGCAAAGGGAAGGCACGUGCCUGUGGUAACGGGGAGGCCCUGCAGUGACAGCUCCAUGACUCAGCCACCUCCUGUGCUGCAGCCUUACACCACAAGCACAAGACCCUCCUUCCAGGCAAUGCUUAGUGGAGAGCUCUCUGGUCCGACUGCUGGUUACUACUAAACUGUCCAGACCAGUGGAGAAAAUGCUUUGAUGUUAAUGAGCUGCAGACAAUUUCACUUAACACCAAGCAGAGCCUGGCAUCUCAGAGGUAAGACUUUCAAGGCAGGUCCUACAGCAAGUCUCUCCAACAUCCGUUUUGCCAUAAGAACAGAAAAUACUCAGAAAGACAUUUGAGCAGAAACCUGUCUUCUCACACAGUCUUGCACCACACCCAAUAUCAUUACAGCCACAGAGAUGCCAGAGGCAGGGAAGUAGUGAGAAUUAAAAACGGCCCGAUAGAAUCACAUGACCUCUGUGGGACUCAGUAGAAGCAUGAUUUACCCUCUUGCCCCAUUAAUUGCCUGCUUCUGUGGUCAUGCAGAAGGAAUACACAGCAAUGGGAAAAGGGGAUAGACUCUAAAUUGCUGAUUUUUCUGGUUCCUGUGUGGCUGGUCUUCAAGGCAACGCCAUUCUGAACGUGGCACCUUUUCCAUUGGCACAGCAGAUGUCUGAAUGAAAGGGGCCAGCUGCAGUAAAGUGAGAUGUGCACAAGCAGCCUUGGACUAUCCUCUUUCUUAAGUGGAUAUUCAGCAAAAACUUUCCUGUCAAUCUGGUCCAGGCAGCAGCACAUUGCCAAGUGCACACAAACCUCAGAGACAGGGUACAAAAGAGUCUGUGGAUGUGUUGUAGCUUCCUUGGCUUCAGUCAGCCCUUGUUGUGGGCCCUAGACCAGGAGGUUGGGUUUUCUCCCUAGAGUAAUACCUCAUGUACUGGAGAGGGUCCAGAUUAGGCAGAAUUCCUGCUGUGGAGAGAUAGUGUGGGAAACACAGAACGGUGAGAAAGAUAUCUGUCCAGUGGAAAUGUGAGGUAUCACAGUGUCAGGAAGGAAGCACUGAACCACAAGUUUGAACAAAGACAAGGGAGAAGAAAAGUACAAAUUCAAUUUUGUAACUCUCUGCCCAUUAUCGUAUCGCAUAAACUCUGUUUCUAUCCAGAAUCUGUAAACUUUUGAAUGUAGUGACCCAGUCCUCUGAGAAGUCCCAGCCAAGCAGAAGCAAACACAGACUAGGUCUGAGCAAGAAGAGUAACAAAUGAGACUUCACUGAAAGUUAAACAUUCUUCUUCUGAGGAAUGUGGCAUAAUUCCAAUAUAUUGCCUUUGUUAAAUGAUUUAUAGCAAUGAGAGAGAGAUACUAACUCUUCAGUUUUCUUGCCAGAACAGGAUUAUUCCCCGCAGAAAACUGGAUUACACAGUUAAAAUAAUGCAAGCCAAGUCCAAAUGCUUGUGCUAUGCCCACUGCAGGAAGGAGUUCACACAAAUGCAUGUGAGCCUACACUGAAAUAAAACCUAAUGAGGUAGAAAGUGACAUCAUGGAGGAGGCCAUGACUGAUCACAGGCCAAGGAGACUUUCCAACAAAAUGAACACUGCACUUUGGAAAGUCUACCCAAGUCAGUGGGAAGGGACACAAAAUUAACUUUCAACAAUAUAUUCAGCAUUUGCUGAGCACCAAAAGUCAUUCCAUCCAAACAAAAUCUGUGGGCCACAUUUUCACACGAGUGUACAACAACAACAACUGGACAUCCUGCAAGAGAUGAGACUGGCAGACAACAGGCAAUUGACAACAGCACAGAGCAACACAUACAAUGGUCCCCAGAUAGUGGUAAGGGAAACACUGUGACUUACACUGCUGGGCAGGAGCCCGAGAAGCACUAUUGAGUGUGUGUAGGAUGGAUGAAGAGAGAAGCAAUUUGAUCCCUUUUUCAAAGGGAUUUAUUGUCACAUGCAAUAGCAGCCUCACUAGAGAUGGACAGACUAUCAGCCUGAAAGCAGAGAGAUAUUCAUUAAGUUUAGGAUGGAUUUCAGGGUGCAAGAUAAUGUGUUGUUAGAAAUGAUAUUAAUAUAAAUAGAAAGCAAUAGAUUUGUAAGGUGGAUGGGAAUAAUCUGUGGUUUACAGCAGGGAGUUUAUCCCCAUUAAAGCUGGACAGUUGAAUAAAUGGACUAAAAAAGAUCACCUUUGUAAUAAAAGGAAGGGUGAUGCAGCGAGGUGAACACUAGGUCAGCUUGUAACUGUUUCUAGGGGCUGAGGAAACAUUCACCUGAAACCAGGGUAGAGCUGGAACUGCCAAGUUGUCCACAACACAUUUGACUUGAGACUGCAGCAUGACUCGAGACAGUUCUCAUGCUCUGAAUGCUUUGCUCCAGUGCCACUGUCCCUGGCACACAUAAAGUGUAUAUUCUCUGUGUGACACAGCCAUGUGAGGCAGCACUGUUGGUCAUACGUGUGCAUGAUACUUGAGCCAUUUUGCUGCCAAAGGAACAGGUAAGUGCUGGGUUCUGCUUUUUCCCCAGUUAAGGGAACAGGAUUAGCUAUUUUUCGUCUGUGUCAGUGCUGACCAUCAGGAAAUUCAUAGGAACUUAAUCAACUUCAGUCUGAUUCUAUGAAAUUUACAAGAAUGGUGGCAAAUCACAGCAUAGUUCCAAAGCUCUUAGCAGAGUGAUUAGCAGACAACAGCAUCUUUGUGUGUGUCAGCUCAUUAAGGAGCUUGGCCAAAACUAUAAAUGCUGUAGAAAUAGGAAACAACCAAACAUUAAUUCAACAAAGCAUGCCUGUAACUCCGAGGAAGCCUUGGUGCAUCCUAAGAGACAGACAAGUGGAACAAGCAGUUGCACCUUACAAGUUUUCCACACCAGCAACUUGACAGGUGCAGUGUCCCCAAAAUAAAGGGUGCAAAGUGAUCGAAAAUUUAAAGUUGGUCAUCAUAAAACCUCUCUCUCUCUCUCUCUCUCUCUAUAAAUAUAUACAUAUAUAUAUAUAUAUAUAUAUACACAC